AUUGAACGCUGGCGGCAUGCUUUACACAUGCAAGUCGAACGAGUGGCGCACGGGUGAGUAAUACAUCGGAACGUGUCCUAUCGUGGGGGAUAACUGAUCGAAAGAUCAGCUAAUACCGCCUACGAUUGGAGCGGCCGAUGCACGGUUAGCUAGUUGGUGAGGUAAAGGCUCACCAAGGCGACGAUCGGUAGCUGGUCUGAGAGGACGACCAGCCACAUUUGGACUUGGACACGGCCCAGACUCCUACGGGAGGCAGCAGGUGGGAAGUUGCCGCAAUUGACGAAAGUCUGGCGAAGCAACUCCGCGUGGGUGAUGACGGCCUUCGGGUUGUAAAGCUCUUUUAAGCGGGACGCGGUACCGGAAUAGAAAGCCACGGCUAACUACGUGCCAGCAGCCGCGGUAAUUC
rnacentral:rRNA from 1 species